GGUCUGAAAGACCUAAAAUUGGUAUGAUUCGCAUUUGCUAUCUUGAAUAUGUAACUCCAUCAGAUUUUCCGUAGGUCUUCAAAGUUGGAGCUCAAAGUUUGCUUUUGUUUUUCUUUUUUCUCUGGCCCUUCUCUAUCUUGCAAAUUCCCUUUGAUUUACCCACUGCCCUCCCCAAUCUGCAACAGUGACAGUUUGCUGCCUCAAAACAGAGCAUUCAAAUGAAUUCGCUUAGCCAAUAACUUCUGUGAAGUUGCCUUUUCUAAUGGUGUUAUUACUCAGUGAUGCACAAAUGUGGUAUUUGCCCUACUGGUAGGCAAAACAAAGGUCUGGUUAGGAAUGGUAACCUGCUGUUUUCUUUAAAGGAGAGCCAAAGACUUGUGCUUUACUCUGUUUUGGUUUGGGAGGAAAUAGCCAUUUUGAUUGUGAAACCUUUUAGUAUUCAUGAGUUGAUUAUAUUGUGUAGGGAGAUAGGUCUAAAGUUGACUCUGAAAGUUAGCUGGCCUUAUAAAAUAUAAAAGUAAUGAAAACCCAUCAGUUUUUCUAAAACCAUGAAUGUCAUCUUUUACAGUAUUGUGUGUAAGCAGUUCCUGCCCCCAUAUACUGAGAUUGUCUUGUCAUGAUAGCUUGUUAUAUUUUUGUUUUACUUGUGCCUAUAAGACAAUCUACUGUCAGUAUGAUCAAGUCUUGGGACUGAGUAAAAGAAUCCAUGAACAUGUGAUUGGUGAAAAAUAAUUAACUGUAGUUCGUACCUGUUAGAUUAUAUUCAGAUUCAGAGAAAAAGAGAUUCUUUUCACUAAAGAUAAAGAGUACUCGGUUGCUAUUGCUUAUAUAUAAAUGGUGAUAGAUGGAGAUCUAACCAUCUCUUUUCUGCUUUCUUUUUGCUCAUUUUAAAGAGUUGAGUAAAGGUUUCAUGUAUAAACUGUGUCUGUGAAAAGCACUUGUAAUGUUUUAUAUGUCAUUAAAAGGCCCA
rnacentral:lncRNA from 1 species